rnacentral:tRNA from 1 species
GCCUGGGUGGCUCAGUCGGUUGAGCAUCCGACUUUGGCUCAGGUCAUGAUCUCUCUGCUUGUGGGUUCGAGCCCCACGUUGGGCU